GCUCGAUUCCCCGUCUCCUCCCUUUCUCUCUUCUCUUCCUCCUUCGUUCCCAUUUCACAUUAUCUUAUCCUCGGUUCAAGAAAUCUCCCAACCCGAAAUCUCUGAAGACGGCUAUGUCCAAUGGCGAAGCGGAAUCUUGGAUGCUUUGCUGCUCCGUUUGCUGCCUUCUUCAGUUACCCGCAGGAAGUCUUGAUGCUAAGAACGUAGUGCUUGGUGAAUUCAACCCUCAUUUUCGUCUUCCCUUUCUUCUCUUUUCUAAGUUAUAGUCUUUUUCAAGAGUUUGUUUUUAAGGUUUCUUUAAUUUCUUUUGCUGGUAUGUAUUUCAUCUGAUGAGUUGUUCUUGUGGUUCCUCAAGAAUUCAUUGGAUAUGGAGGUCAAUGGAGGAUAUGAAGUAGGGAACUAGGGAUUUCAUCGGCAGUGGUUCGGGUUUUGAGAACCCAAAUUCUCAAGUUAUAAUAUGUUGGUCACUGCAAAUUAGGGAUUUCUUGGUUACGAUUAGAUUUGUAAAGGUUUUGAAGAAUCUAUCCCCUUCCAAGGACAAUUUCUCAAAUUUCUUGAUUCAUCAAUUUUUUAACUCCUUUUUUAGUUAUUUCUCUUGGGAAAUGAAGGCGCUGAUCUUUCAUGGAUUCCCUUUUCCUCCAUUACUCUGUACUCUUUUCGUUCUUUUUACUCGGAGCAAUAAUAUUAAUAUGACUCGAUAACUUGGAAAAUCUCCCAUCCUAUCCUCCAGACCAAAUUCUUUGUUGUACGGACCUGUCACUUUUUUAAUGUGGCUUUCAUCCGGGCUGACCCGGGUUCAUGAUAACUUAAAGUUCUAUCUUGUUUUCAUUAAAUUUUUUAGCCUCCUUAUUGCAGGAGUUGAAGGAGGCAGCAGAUAUUUUUCUGAUGCCGGUAUUGAAGAAGCCCCUCCUCUUCAACUUCCCCUUAAUGAUGUUCUUAGUGUCAUCAAUAACAGAUCACACUCCCUGCUGCUAUCAAGUGCUACUGCAUUAAUUUCUAUACAGCCUGUUCAGAUUUGGAAGGUAAUGGUGGUGCUACUUUAAUGGGCACAAUGGGGCUUAGGGUAGCUGCUAUGGUUCUGGAUGUCUUUUUGGUCGGGUAAGUGACAACUUACUCAUGUAUAUUAUUAAAGCAUUCUAUAUUUUUAGGGACAAAAUAUUUUUUAUUAUUAAAACUGGCAGAUUUAACAAAAGCCCUGUUGGGUCUGUGCAAUUUAUAAGGGAAUUGAGAAGUGCAGAGUGUGCAAUGAAUGGAGCCAUUAAGAUCUUGACAAUUGCCGUAUUAUUCAACUUCAGAUAUCCGUAUAUUUUCUUUGCUUAAAUAGAAUAAGGUCUUUCAACCCCAAAAGAAAACAUAACUUGGUGACUAUUGUGGUACCAGAACUGCUUAUGUUGGAUGUCACCUUUGCCUCAAUAUAAGCAAAGUUUUACAUCUUGGUAGGAUGGGGGGCAUCUCGGCCAUCUCGUCCUGUUUAUGUAAGAAAACAGGACCAUGAGGGGGUCGAGACUCCGAAAACCAUUCACAUAGAGAGAGAAGAAGAAAGAGGAAAGAAAUGAAGGAAAAAUGAAGAAAAGAAAAAAGUGAAAAGAAAGAAAAAGAAGAAACAUGAAAGAAAAAAAGGAAGGAAGAAGAAAAAGAAAGAAAGGGAAGGAAAGAAGGAAGAAAGGAAAGAGACAAAAGAAGAAAAAGGAAAGAAAAAGAAAGCAAGGGACAAGAAAAAGAAAGAAAAAGGAAAGGAAAGAAAGGAAGAUAGGAGAAAAAGAAAGAAAAAAAGGAAAGAAAAAAAAAUGAAAGAAAGAAAGGAAAGACGAGGGGGGAGAAAAAUAGAGGAUAUCUACCGGGACUACUGCCUAAGUGGGACAGGACAAUUGGAUGUCCCGUUCCAUGGAGAAAUCCCAAGAUUUAAACCUUGGAUAUAAGUACGCAUGCUUUCUUUAGAUUAUGUUUCUCUCUUGCAAUAUGGAUAAUUUAGUUCCCUGUUAUCCUUCCAAGUUCUUGCCUUUGAUUAUUUCAGUCUCACAUACUUAAUGGAAAAGAUCAUGGUGGACAGGGCUCUAGUACAUAUCUUUCCUAAACUUAAAUACGGAUGUUUGCUGGCAUAUAUGCUUGGAUGGUUUUGAAAUGAUUGUCUUACAGCCUUACAGCUGCUUAGGCUUUCAGCAUGUAAAACUAUGGGGUCAGCUACAAGUAUUUGCAGGCGUAAAACUGGCCCCUGAAUUAUGUAUAACCCACGUGUAGUUUCAUGGCCUUUACUAUUUGCUUUUUAAUUAUUUCAAAGUUUAAUCACAAGUAGAUGUAAAAAAUGGGAGUGUGAUAGUUUUGGCUUUUAAUAUGCCAGGUCCAUUUGAAGACGUAGAAGUUCCCAUUUUCUUUGAAAAAGUAUUUGAAAUUAAUUUGUUUUCUAAAUCUUCAAUUGUUCUGCGUUCAUGUUUUACAUGUCCACCAUGGAGGCAUACAUUGGUGGGAGGAAGAUUGAUCCUCUAGAAAAUGUUGAAUUGACAUCUUCUUCGACUGCAUCUUUUUUAGUUGAAGGAAUUGCUCAGAAUACAACUGUUGGUAUAUUUGAGCCAGAGAGUGGCUGAACUAUUGAGGAUACUAGAUCACCUACUGAAAAGGCCAUCCUUUCUGGGGCAGUUAAGCUGGGAUGAAGUUUGAUGAUGCAAGGUUGAUAUCUUCAAAUCUUCAAGUCUUCCCCUUCGAUUCUGAGAAAAAGCAUGGUGGUGCUGCAGUAGAUGUGAUGGAACCAUGGACAUGUGGUUCACUAAUGAUUUGAUAAUAGUUUUGCAUAAUCCGGUGCUACUUGAAUUAUCAGACCAUGCAGCAAUUUCUUCACUAUUCAGAAAACAAUAUUUGCAAAGGAGAUUCUGAAAUUCACUUGCAUUGGAGAGGUGCUGCUGAAAUUGUUCCUGCUGCAUCCAGAGCUGGCCUGAAGCAGCUGGUUUGGCUCAGCCAAUGACUUCAGACAAGGAUCCUUUUUGGCCUGGGGUCAGAGAUGCUGUAGAGAUGCGCUUAUGCAGGUUUCAAGGUGCUUUUCUGAUAACUUGGUAAUGGCAUAACAGACAGCCAAUUUUAGUGUCAUUAUGAGUUACCCAGGGAAUCUUUGACCUCAUUUGACUUUGAUCUCAAAGUCAAGUACGAAACUGGCUUAGCAUAGAUGGUUGAUUGUUUAACUUAUUGGUCAAUCAGUCAUUGAAUGUUUGUUGGCAUGUUAUUGCUAUAACCAAAACUUGUCUUUCAUUAGCAAGGUUCAUAUUGGAGUGAGCAUUAAGAGGCCCUCUUCGAUAAGCUAUGCUAUUAUUAUCUAUUUUAGAAAAUUUUCAACCAUGAAGAAGAGAUGUGUUUUCCAUACAUGUUUUGCAUAAAUAUUAUAAAUUUGAUUUAACAU